UACGUAGGGUCCGAGCGUUGUCCGGAAUUAUUGGGCGUAAAGAGCUCGUAGGCGGCUUAGUAAGUCGGCGGUGAAAUACCGAGGCUCAACCUCGGCACUGCCGUCGAUACUGCUAUGGCUAGAGUUUGGUAGAGGAGAACGGAAUUCCCGGUGUAGCGGUGGAAUGCGCAGAUAUCGGGAGGAACACCCGUAGCGAAGGCGGUUCUCUGGGCCA
rnacentral:rRNA from 1 species